rnacentral:rRNA from 1 species
GAUGAACGCUGGCGGCGUGCCUAAUACAUGCAAGUCGAGCGAACAGACGAGGAGCUUGCUCCUCUGACGUUAGCGGCGGACGGGUGAGUAACACGUGGAUAACCUACCUAUAAGACUGGGAUAACUUCGGGAAACCGGAGCUAAUACCGGAUAAUAUAUUGAACCGCAUGGUUCAAUAGUGAAAGACGGUUUUGCUGUCACUUAUAGAUGGAUCCGCGCCGCAUUAGCUAGUUGGUAAGGUAACGGCUUACCAAGGCAACGAUGCGUAGCCGACCUAAGAGGGUGAUCGGCCACACUGGAACUGAGACACGGUCCAGACUCCUACGGGAGGCAGCAGUAGGGAAUCUUCCGCAAUGGGCGAAAGCCUGACGGAGCAACGCCGCGUGAGUGAUGAAGGUCUUCGGAUCGUAAAACUCUGUUAUUAGGGAAGAACAAAUGUGUAAGUAACUAUGCACGUCUUGACGGUACCUAAUCAGAAAGCCACGGCUAACUACGCG